rnacentral:rRNA from 1 species
GUGGGGAAUAUUGGACAAUGGGCGAAAGCCUGAUCCAGCCAUGCCGCGUGUGUGAAGAAGGUCUUCGGAUUGUAAAGCACUUUAAGUUGGGAGGAAGGGCAUUAACCUAAUACGUUAGUGUUUUGACGUUACCGACAGAAUAAGCACCGGCUAACUUCGUGCCAGCAGCCGCGGUAAUACGAAGGGUGCAAGCGUUAAUCGGAAUUACUGGGCGUAAAGCGCGCGUAGGUGGUUCGUUAAGUUGGAUGUGAAAGCCCCGGGAUCAACCUGGGAACUGCUUUCAAAACUGCUGAGCUAGAGUACGGUAGAGGGUGGUGGAAUUUCCUGUGUAGCGGUGAAAUGCGUAGAUAUAGGAAGGAACACCAGUGGCGAAGGCGACCACCUGGACUGAUACUGACACUGAGGUGCGAAAGCGUGGGGAGCAAACAGGAUUAGAUACCCUUGUAGUCC